rnacentral:rRNA from 1 species
UACGAAGGGGGCUAGCGUUGCUCGGAAUCACUGGGCGUAAAGCGCACGUAGGCGGCCUUUUAAGUCAGGGGUGAAAUCCUGGAGCUCAACUCCAGAACUGCCUUUGAUACUGGGAAGCUUGAGUCCGGAAGAGGUGAGUGGAACUCCGAGUGUAGAGGUGAAAUUCGUAGAUAUUCGGAAGAACACCAGUGGCGAAGGCGACUUACUGGACACAUAUUGACACUGAGACACGAAAGCGUGGGGAGCAAACAGG